rnacentral:tRNA from 1 species
AGCCUUAUAGUCAAGAAAUGAUCUUAGACUGCAAUUCUAAUGGGGUAAGGAAUACUUACUAAGGUUU